UACGGAAGGCAGCAGUGGGGAAUAUUGCACAAUGGGCGAAAGCCUGAUGCAGCUAUGCCGCGUGUAUGAAGAAGGCCUUAGGGUUGUAAAGUACUUUCAUCGGGGAGGAAAAACAAAACUAAUAAUUUUAUUUCUUGACGUUACCCGAAAAAGAAGCACCGGCUAACUCCGUGCCAGCAGCCGCGGUAAUACGGAGGGUGCUAGCGUUAAUCAGAAUUACUGGGCGUAAAGAGCACGUAAGUGGUUUUUUUAAGUCAGAUGUGAAAUCCCUGGGCUUAACCUGGAACUGCAUUUUGAAACUGAAAUACUAGAGUAUCGUAGAGGGAGGUAGAAUUCUAGGUGUAGCGGUGAAAUGCGUAGAUAUCUGGAGGAAUACCUGUGGCGAAAGCGGCCUCCUAAACGAAUACUGACACUGAGGUGCGAAAGCGUGGGGAGCAAACAGGGAUUAGAUACC
rnacentral:rRNA from 1 species